ensembl:rRNA 5S_rRNA 5S ribosomal RNA
GACUACACAGUAAAACCCUAGAACGUUCCCAAUCUCUUCUGAUCUUGGAAACUAAGCAGGGUCAGGCCUGGUAAGUACUUGGAUGGGAGACCACCUGAGAAUACCUAGUACUGUAGGCU